rnacentral:rRNA from 1 species
UGNACUUUAGUCGCGCAGUAUAGGUGGGAGGCGUUGAGAAUACUCUUGCGGGAGUAUUGGAGCUAUCAGUGAGAUACCACUCUUCUAAUGUUAGAUUUCUAACUUUGAACCAUUAUCUGGUCAAAGAACAGUUUCAGGCGGGCAGUUUGACUGGGGCGGUCGCCUCCCAAAUGGUAACGGAGGCGUACAAAGGUUUCCUCUGAACGGGUAGAAAUCGUAUCUAGAGUGUAAAGGCAUAAGGAAGCUUGACUGUGAGACCUACAAGUCGAACAGGGACGAAAGUCGGUCUUAGUGAUCUGACGGUACUGAGUGGAAAGGCCGUCACUCAACGGAUAAAAGUUACUCUAGGGAUAAC